CCUACGGGUGGCAGCAGUCGAGAAUCAUUCACAAUGGGGGAAACCCUGAUGGUGCGACGCCGCGUGGGGGAAUGAAGGUCUUCGGAUUGUAAACCCCUGUCAUGUGGGAGCAAAUUAAAAAGAUAGUACCACACGAGGAAGAGACGGCUAACUCUGUGCCAGCAGCCGCGGUAAUACAUAGGUCGCAAGCGUUGUUCGGAAUCACUGGGCGUAAAGGGUGCGUAGGCGGUUUCGUAAGUCGGGUGUGAAAGGCGCGGGCUCAACCCGCGGACUGCACAAGAUACUGCGAGACUAGAGUAAUGGAGGGGGAACCGGAAUUCUCGGUGUAGCAGUGAAAUGCGUAGAUAUUGAGAGGAACACUAGUGGCGAAGGCGGGUUCCUGGACAGUAACUGACGCUGAGGCACGAAGGCCAGGGGAGCGUAAGGGAUUAGAUACCCGGGUAGUC
rnacentral:rRNA from 1 species